rnacentral:rRNA from 1 species
CAAUAGCGUAUAUUAAAGUUGUUGCAGUUAGAACGCUCGUAGUCGGAUUUCGGGGCGGGCCGACCGGUCUGCCGAUGGGUACGCACUGGUCGGCGCGUCCUUCCUUCCGGAGACCGUCCCUACUCUUAACUGAGCGGGGGCGGGAGACGGAACUUUUACUUUGAAAAAAUCAGAGUGUUUCAAGCAGGCAGUGCGCUCUUGCAUGGAUUAGCAUGGGAUAAUGAAAUAGGACUUUGGUGCUAUUUUGUUGGUUUCGAACACCGAAGUAAUGAUUAAAAGGGACAGUCAGGGGCACUCGUAUUCCGCCGAGAGAGGUGAAAUUCUCAGACCAGCGGAAGACGAACCACUGCGAAAGCAUUUGCCAGGGAUGUUUUCACUGA